ACCGACCCCGGGGGGGUCUGCCCAACAUGGCGGGCGGGGCCGGGGGCGCCCAAUAUGGCGGCCGCCCAAGAUGGCAGGUCCGCGGCAGCGGGGCCUGACACACGAUCCCCUCCACGGGUCCCGGCGCAGCGGGCAGCGGGCGGGCCCGGCCAGCUCUGCCCGCCCUCCCUGCCCUGCCCGCUGGCCGGGGCGGAGGCUGCUCAGCACCGCCCGUGGCAGCGGCGCCCGGCGAUGCGGCUCCCCGGCGGGACGCCAGCCCGCUUCUUCCUCGCCCUCUGCGUCUGGAGGCUGGUGCCGCGCCGGGACGCCGCAGGAACAGAAGAAGUGGUCUUUGGGGAGGUCGGAGGAAGCAUCCUCCUGGUAUGCCGAAAUGUCUCCAAAGAAGCGACCGAGGUGGUCUGGUUUCAAGGGGACCCUCGUUCUUUCCCCCCACUCUUCUCCUCGAGGGUCUCCUUCCCCCCGGACGUCCGUUUCUCCCUGGUUGACAACAGCUCCCUGCGCAUCUCGGAGCUGCGGCUGCAGGACCAGGGCAACUACACCUGCAGAGAAGUGCUGAACCAGACGGACCACGAGCACCGCGUCCAGCUCCUGGUGGCCAAUCCACCACACUCAGCCCCAAAGUGCUGGGCUGAGGCUUCCCCGUCGGGGCUGAUGCUGCAGCUGUUUUGCAGCUGGCCCGGGGGGCACCCGCACCCCACCCUGCACUGGAGAGAAGAGGGGCACGAUCUGGAGAACUCCAGCUCGGUCAUCAGCUCCUCCAGCAACUCGGACACGCACGUGGAAACGCUCAACAGCUCCCACCUCUCCCACCGCAAAGUCUUCAAGUGUGUCGGGAGCCACGUUGUCAAGCAGGAGGAGCCUGCAUGCACUGUGGAGAUAAAAAUCCCUUCCCUGGAAUCGGAGCCCCCGAAGACCUGCUUUGUGGGUGACAACGUGACGCUGACGUGCCGGGUGACCGAGGGCACGCCGGCGGCGCGGCUCAGCUGGCUGCGGGGUGUCAGCCAGCCCGAGGCGGAGAUCCGGCCGGGGGGCAGGUACCUGAUCGCCCAGGAGGGCAACGAGUCCCGGCUCACCAUCCGGAACUGCUCCCAGGGCACCGACGGCGGCUGCUACGUCUGCAAAGCGCAGAACCCCGUGGGGCUGAGGGAGCUCUUCGUCUGCCUGACGGUGGAGCAGCCGGUGAACAUCGUUGGGGUCGUGGGUGCAGUGGUGGUCCUGUCCCUGCUGGCCGUUCUCACCGUCACCGGGGUUGUCUUGUACUACAACCCCCUGCUGUGCCUGAGAGGUGCUGCGUUCAGUCUUUCAGCCCCGCUCCGCCUGCCCUGCUGCUCACAGGAAUCGGGACUCAGGCGAUGUCUUAGUGCUGGUGGACUCGGAAGACGAGGAUGAGGGAAAAGGAGAAGAGGAGACCACGAGCAGCUCCACCAAACAUGAGGCGAUGGCACUGGUCAAUGGGAACAGCAUCCAGGCUGCUUCCCCCAGCUGCCUGACAGAAGGUGACGAUGGCGAGCAGCACGGCGGGGUCUCUCCACGGGAAAGGAGGGGAGAAGAGCUGCGAGGCACGUAGUUCUUUAGUUCCAUCCCCUCGUGGGGACACACAGAGCUGCAGCUGGACAUGUGUCCUCGUUCCAUGUGGCUGAGCACAGGCCGUUCGUGUCCCGCCACGGGCCGGUUCGGUCAGAGCAUCCCCACAUCCUUCUCUGCUCGCCCUUCCCCUGCUCUCACCCCAUCCUUCCCCAGCCUUGUUCCCCCAUUUCUCCUCUUUUCACGUUCCUCUUUGUCUCAGGUGUCCCUUUUUAAGAAGGUGGCACCUAGAGCAGGCAUAGUGGGGACAUGAGUUCCAGUCACCCCCUCAUCUCGAUGCCUGUGACGGACUCGAACACCAGGACAGGAUUCCGGCUCAGUCGCCAUGAGCGGUGCUGGGUUGUAUGAUGGAAAAAGUCGCUGUGGGACCACAACGGUCCUGGGCUAAUGGAAGAAACAAUUGGUGCACGGGCAGGACACGGGUGAUACUGACUCUAGGGAGGCUUGUUUUUUAUUAUAAAUAUUUUUUCUCCUA